ACCUGUGAAACUGACCUCCAUAAGCUAGCUUGCCACCACUGACCAUAAACCAGCAGUGUGGAUAUUCUCCCAGUUAUUACACUUUGUUAUUACUAACUUGAAGCGCGACAAGAUGGAUUCUCGCGUGAUCUCGCGAUUCCAGCUGCCUUGCAAGGUAAAUGUCAAUCUGUGGUAGAUGAAAAAAAUUGUAGCAAUCUAAAAGGGGCAAAACUUAAUGUGAAUGAAAGGUGUUUUUUGAUUUUGGAGACAUCUGUGUGCGUGCACCUCUGCCAACCGAAGCCACAAAAAUUGCCAUGCAUCUGCGUAUGUGAUAAGGGGUUGUCUGAGCAGGUUUUAUCACAAAUGCAAUUUGGUGCCAAAAUGAGCACCAAAAUUUCACUGUGCCGCCUAAUCUGCAUAAACACAGCCUCAGCUGCACCUCUCCUCCCACGCAAGUGUGCUCCUUUGGUACCAGGAAAUUACCAAACAGGCACAGACACACAAAAAGUAGACUUGCGCUUCGGGAAGAUCGCAUAAAGACUAUGUUUGAACCAGUGAAGGCCUUGCACCUGCGGGAAAAUAGGGCAAUGCAGUCUGUAAGCAUUUAUACUUUGCAUUAGCAUGGGUUUUUCGUUAUGCAGAUAAAAUAUCCAGAUACAGAUACCAGGUAGAGACUGACUUGAAUGUAUUUAUUUAUUAAUUUCUUCUCUUAUUCUCUCAAUAUUAAUCUCAGCGAAAGUACUUAUCUCACAGUAGCUUAUAAUAAUUUGCAUUUUGCAUGUUUUGGUCCAUUUACUACAAAUCACAUCUACUGACAACCAUUUUCCAAGUUAAUCUUCAUACUAGGAUGGAUGGAAACCAAUGGUUGCCUGCCAGGUAAGAAAAGAAUGACAGGCUUUGGAAAAUGGCCGACAGUAAGUCAUUUAAGGUAAAUGUGCUAAAACAUGGAAAACCACAGUAAUGAUCCUUUAAUUCUCCUCUGUCACGACUAUAUACCUGCAGUUGACUCAAACCUCACCCACCCACAUGCAGCCAUACACCCAGGAACAAUAAAAAAAUAACUGCUGUGGUUCUGCUGCUGUCUGGACCAUCCCAGAGAAAGACAUUUCAGAGCUGCUCCUAACAAGCAACUAUGUGAGCAGGCAGCAGUGAUUAAAAUGACAUCAGCACCAUGGAAACUGCGUCGUGCCAUUCCCUCAAGGAAAAUCACAGGCCUAUUCAGAGCUGUAUUUCACUCCAGAUAAUUCGAAAUGAAUUAGUGCCACAAUUAAGACCUGAAAUGUGUUCUACUGAAGAGCAAAGGCCAGUAUUCCUUGUUCCAGCUUUUCAAAACAGGAGAUACUGACCACAGAUAGAAAUUCAGGGCAGAAGAGAGAUUUUAUUUGUCACCUGCUGGAGGCGCCAUGACUACCACUAACCACCAAAAAAAGUUCUCCGACUGACCUGCUGGGAGGCUUCAAGAUCAGGGGCCAGCUGGGCCCCUAUUACACAGCACAGUUCUUCCAUACUAGAUACCACCUGGCCCGUUGCUGUGUGGUUCCGACCUUGUCACUUUCCAAAAGGAAGCACUGAGCUUAGUGCAGCAGCGGGGGAGUGACGCAUAACUUCCCCAGAGCCUGCAGGUGGAUGCUGGGGUGGAGCUGGGUAUUUUGAAAUGCUAUAUGGACAGCAGUGGCAGCAGGUGUGCAGAAAAGCGUGAGCAGAGCACUGACUGCAUAAGUACUAUGAUUAAAAGGGUGUGUUGCAGUGAGAGGAGAAUGCCAGGUGAGUGAAGCGGUGACUCCAGUUGGGCUACCUGAACUAGCCCACAGGCUUUGCUUCAUUUCGGUCAGCCAAAAUAUUCAACAUGUAAGAACAAAACUGAAAUGGUGAGUGUUCUGAAACUUUAUUUUGACACAGAUACCCUCUUCAAGACAGGUCCUCGGGGCAAUAAACCACUUUUAUGCCCUAUCAUGCCAGUUAAUAUUGUGCAAUAUGGUGCAUACUCCCAUAAAAAAAAAUGAAUAAUGGAUGUAACCCCCUGGGUUAUCUUUCCCCAGGGCAAUUUAAUUAUAUUUCAUGUUCAGUUAUGUUCAGUUCAUUUUUAAGUUAUUUGAUAAUGUCACGCAGUUAUUGGAGUGUCUAUAGCUAUUUCAAAUGUGUGUAUUGCGAUACUACUAAAUGCACUACUAAGUUAGUUUGAAGUACAGAGCUCAACACAUAGUGGUAAGUGUAAAUACAAAGGUGCAAAUGAUACUUGUGCACCCUUAAAUGCUAAAAUGCUGUUCAGUAGCUCCACAUUCUGCAGAGUCGUGUAUAUUCUGAGUCGAGUACAGCCCUUACUCACUGACAUAUCUUUGCCUCAGUUCAUGCCAACCAGCAUGUACUUACAUGCACAGAAAGCAUCAUGUCCCUGCUCUUGACUACAUCUUUUGGUGAUUUCUAAAACAUACCAUAAAAGUGCGACUGUUUCAUGGUGUCGUGCUGAGAUUUAAAGCUUAUUGUUGCUAAUGUUCUGAAGCAGGUAUGGAGAAUCUGUCCUCAGGGGAAAUCAUGUCUCGGAUAUUGAUACAGUAUAACUCAUUGAUCCCUCUGUCUGUGAGCAGUCAUGGCUGUGACUUUAUCUUCCCUCCGAGGCCCGCAGAGAUGUAGCCACAUAGACUGACCAGGAGGCAGGACUCAUUACUUCACUUUACAGCCUGUCACAACACUGACAGCCGUGGGGAUCAUACCUGAUGUGGGAGUACAGAAAGGGAAGCAGAUGGAGGGUCGAUGAGUGUGAGUGAUGCUACACUGCCUGUCCAGGACAAGGGGAAUUCAAAGACAGGAAAUGUUCUUCAUAUGAAAACGACUAUGUAGCAAGUCCCAUUAUCCCAUUAAACAACUGGGCCUAUGAAAUGAGCAGACUGCUGUAGAACUUUAAGGACAAGGCCAUAUUAAAGGCUUUUCUUUUUUUAUUAUGCUUUUUAUUGGCAGCCAGAGGAUUUACAAAGGACUAUUAAAAUCAAGCAAGCAAACAAAAAAAAAAAAGAAAAAAAAAGCAGGAAACAUCCAGGUUCAACUCAAUUUCCAUUACAUUCAUCAUCAAGACAGUGUCUCUAUUAUCCAAGGGAAUCUUUUGCCUUACUCUUCCUUGGAUCACAAAUGAGGAGAGAGAAAAAAUAAAUACAAACAGUGGCAUAUCCAGGACAUCAUUAAUGAAUGGCAGGUGAUCAAAAUGUGUGAA